CACGAGUCAGAAGACAAAUGCAGAUUAACUGGAUUGAUUCUUUGGUGGGUGACGCUAGGUUUCUAAAGGAAAUUCUGUUUCCAUCAGUAUGGAUACACUGUUGUUUUUGCACAUUACUGCUGCUGUAUUCCAGUGUCAGUCAUAAUUACACAGCCAGUGCAGAGAAAGCAGAGCUCAAGUACCGGGAUUUCAUUGGUUGCUAUGUUCUGGGAGGGGUAGUAGGAAGGGCUGCAGUAUUCCAUCGACACUGUUGAAGACAUCUCUCUGCUUUAUCAUCUAAUGGGAAAUUCCCUUGGAAGGGCAAAGCUUCUCUGAGCGUGCCAAAAAAUACGAGAGAAGGACAAGAGAAGCUCAGUCAUUAUCCGGCUACAAAAUCUUGCUUAACACUGAAUUUUGCAAGGGAGGUUACUGUGAUGGAAGGAUUCCUAAAUGCACAGCAGAGACGAAUAACAAGAGCUGAAGAAGGUUUGCUGUUUACUUGAAAAGUGCCUUUUUCUCAAAAGUCACUUUUGCCAGUUAGAGCUACAGCAUACCGUCUGUGUUUUUAACGCAUUCUUGCCAAACAGGAUUCUGUUCCAAAGCGUCGCUGCCAUAAACUUGUAUGUCUUCACUUGCCAAUAGCCCGACAUGAAAUGGACUGACCGUCAGCAGAAAGAAAA